rnacentral:lncRNA from 1 species
CUGGAAGUGUCGUCGGCGUGCGGCGUCUAGAAGGAGUUUGUUUUCGUGCAACAAGUCGUUCUUACCCUUCUUACCUGUCUCAUUACCCUUCUCAGAUUAAAUUACUUUUACUUUCACCGAAACGUGAGUUGUGUGCUAUACUCGCGGAAAACAAAACAAACCCGUGGAAAUGUGACCAACAUAGUGCCAAGUGCGUGUUGAAGACUUUGGUUGAAGACCGGCUGCCGCUUAGAAUCAAAGGCAAGUUUUGAAAAUUCCAGGAACGCAGAGCAAGCUGCUUCGCAAUUGUUUUCUUAAAUUUGCUUAGUAUCCUUUUGAUCUCUAUUAAUUAUUCUUAAUUGUAUGGUAAAUGCAAGUGUUCGUCCAUCGGCUGUUUAUUGUCUGUACCUGACCUCGUUCAGUCCUGCGGUCUUGCUGACCUGAAGAAGAAAAUUUUCUUCUCUUGAUCUUUCACCGCUGUUCAGAAACAACUCUGAAAGCAGUCGCCGAGACCAAAGUCUCAAAUACCAUUCAAAACAUGCUGCAAAACAUUUUUACUGAUGAGCUGGCGGUGUCUUUUUGCCUCGCCGGAAAAAGUUCCGAAAAGAAAGUGUUUGAAACCUAUUUCCUCUAUAAUACUGUUCUGGAAUGCACGAAGGCUGUACAUCCAGCAGAACUGAAGGUGGAAACUGAUGCCAGAGAUUCAAUGAGUACUUGGUUUACUCAAGCCAAACAUAGAAUCAAUAAAAGAAAAGAACGAGCGAGAAGGAAAGAAAUGAGGUCUCUUGAAAAUUACCUCAAGCUGCAUCAAUUACUUUUGAUUCAGCAGCACCAAAGACAACUGAUGCAGCAGCACCAAAGACAACUGAUGCAGCAGCACCAAAGACAACUGAUGCAGCAGCAACAAAGACACAGAUUGAAGCAGAAGUAGAGAAGGACAAACAGAUGAAGGAAGCAAAGGAAAAUAAUUCCAUUGUUUUGAAUUAGUUUGUUUCGUAUGCUUACAAUAUAUUAGGUUAAAUAGUCCAAUAAGUAUGAAAUUUUGAAAGUGCUCUUAGGUCAAGAGGAAGUACUUAAUAUUUUGGGGCGGGACCUCGGGCUUCUGGGCGGACCCCUAAUCAAAAUUUUCAGAUGACAACCCCCAUUUUUUACGGCAUUUUCAGAGAGAAAAUAAAGAAGAAAAUGUUUGAGCUGAAGUGUAGGGCUCUACGAUUUUUCCUCGCCGAAAUAUUGGCGAUCAAAGUUAAAAAUUGGCCUGUUUUCAAAAAAUUGUGUGUGCCAAUUGAAAAAUCCUAAGUAACCAAACUUGUGAUUCAAAUGUUCAGAAUGACAAGCGUUCUCAAGAAAAUGUGCAAAUUUCGACUUUGCAGGUCGCAGGCCACCCCCUCCGGCUACUCCGUGGAUCGCACUCCCCCCCCCCCCCACAUAACUUUUGAACGUUUGCACCUAACUGAAUGAAAUUUCGACAGUGUUGUAAGUCUACGGUACCUACUUUUGAGCAUACUCAAACCGUCAGGGCAGCGUUCCCUGGUCAAUAGGUUCAAAAUAACUUUUGAUCCGAGGUCUACCUCCCGACGGGGGGGGGGGGGGGUGCUGCCCUGACAGUUUGAGUAUGCUCAAGAGUAGGUACCAUAGACUUACCAACAUGUCAAAAUUUCAUUCAGGUAGGUGCAAACGUUCCAAAGUUACGUGGGGGGGGGGGGAGGGAGUGCUGUCCGCGGAGUAGCCGGAGGGAGGGGUUUGCCUGCGACCUGCAAGGUCGAACUUCGCAAAUUGUCUUGAAAACUCUUGUAAUCCUGAACAUUAGAAGAAAGCUUUGAUUUCCUAAGAUUUUUCAAUCGGCGCACCUGAUUUUUUGAAAAUAGGCCUAUUUUGAACCUUGAUCGCAAAUAUCUCGGCAAAAUGGAGAUUGUGCAGCCCUCCACUUUAGCUCAAAAAUUUUCUUUUCAUAUCUUCUCUCUGAAAAUGCCAUAACAAAUGGGGGUUGCCAUCUGAAAAUUUUGAGUUGGGGUCCGACCAGCAGCCUGGGGCCACAUGCUUACUGGCGGGUAGUCACGCUUUUUCAGUUUUGUUUCUCUACAGCACUGUUGAUUGUUGCCAGACCUGCAGUCAGUUGCACUGUAUUAUUUCUGUUCGUUGUUACCAAGUCGUGCUAGUAGAUUAUAAUUUCGGUUAUUUUGGUACUUAUUAAUGUGCCUUCUCUUUGACAAUGUUCGCACAAGCGGUAUUUUUGAAUUGAUGUCAACAUUUUGAUUAAAGAAACUGAACCCUCUCUGCAUUUUUAAGAUGUUCGCCAGGGGCUCUUGGGUGAUUUUUCACCGAUUGCAAUUUCAAGAAAUGUGACAGGUUUUGUUCCUCCAGUUGUUGGUUGUUGCUAGACAUGUAGUCAGUUGCACUAUAUUAUUUCUGUUCAUAGUUACCGAGUUAUACUUGUAAUGAUAGACUGAUUUAGUGAUGUCAUUCGAUAUAUCAUCGAAUUCUUGAUUAAAGAACCAGAACAAACAAUAUGACCUAAUGUAACCUCAACUGCAAAUGCUUCGUGACUUAAUUAUGUUAGUUCAUUACAAUUUAGUCAUUGGCAGGUCAUGAAUCAAUUAAGGACUCAGAUUUAUAACCUGUAAAUGGCUAAAUUAUGAUUAACUCAUGGAGAAUUUGUAAGUGAAGUUGUUCGGUCAUAUUGUUUGUUCUGGUUAAUGAACCAAGAGUUCGAUAAUAUAUCGAUUGAUAUAGUCACUAAAUCAGUCUAUUUUGGUUAUUUUGGUACUAAUUUACAUGCCUUCUCUUCGACAAUGGUAGUACAAAUAGUAAAUUUAAAUUGAUCUCAAAAUUUUGAUUUAGGAGACUGAAUCAUUUCUGCAUUUAGAGAUAUUCGUUAGGACCUCUAGUGCAAUUCCUCAUAAGAUUUCAUAAAAAGGCUGUUUUUUUCCCUCCUUAAUUUUUUAUAACUUCCAUUUAUCAUAUUAUUACUUGAGUUUAAUCUACUUUAGUUUCUACCUCAUUUAAUUAAAUUUAAUUUAAUUGAUUAUUUUGCGCAAAAAAUCAAUAUUUUCAGAAAAUCGAUAGAAAAUCGACAAUACUACUUCAGUUUAUUCUACCCGUAGAAUAGUAUUCAUAGUCAUAGUCUUUAUUUUUUAACCAGUGACAAUUUUUGUGUUCCUCCUUGUUGUAUGAUGAUUGACUAUCAUACUUGAUUUCUGGUUUUCCAAUGUCUUUGCCAGUUUCAUUUGUCAAUGUCAUUCAGUUAUGCUCACUUUUUUCAACUACUGUAAAAUAUAGCAAAGGAAAGCAUAAGUUUCCUUAAAGCCGCAGUACUCUUAGCCGAACAAUUUUCUGUCCCAAUUGAUUUAUAAUUAUUAUACAAUCCUCGACUUUCUUGGACGAUUAUAGUAUAUAUUAAGCUGUCUAACGUAACAGAAGUUGAAUGCACAUCACACUCUUGCAUGCCAUAAGGAUUUGCAAUUUAAGUACCUUUUUUUGUAAAACUUUGCAAGAAACACAACGGUGCCUCUUGGAUUUCUUAGAAAAGCUCUUGAAAGUAAGAAUGUAAUGGAGGGUGAGUGCCAUUUUUCAUCUUGGGAGUUUGUUUCAGUUUUCAGAGUGGUACCAUUGUGUUUCUUGCAAAAUUUUACAGCGGGGGAAAGUACUUCAAUUGCAAAUCUUUUUGGCGAAAUCCAGGCUUAUUCCCUCGCAAAUCCAUAAAUCUUACAAAGCUUCAUAUUCUUCAUUUAGCAGAGAUUGAGCAUUUUAAUGUAACUAGUGACAAUAAUUGUGUUAUGCAAACAUUUUUUCCUCACCUUAAAAGACUAUUAGAAGUGUUUUCUAAGUUUCAAUGUCUUUACCUAUUAAUUGUAUUCUUCAACUAUCUUGUUUUGUAUUGUUAAUUUUUUCUUAACUCUUGCAACAUUACCAAGAAAAAUAAUUCUUGUUUUUAUUACAUUUUUCAAUACAUUUGUUUAUUACUCCAUCAGUUUGCUAAU